rnacentral:lncRNA from 1 species
GUGUCUCUCACACACACCACACACACACACACUCACUCUCUCACACACACUCACUCUCUCACACACACUCACUCUCUCACACACACUCACUCUCUCACACACACUCACUCACUCUCUCGCACACACUCACUCUCUCACACACACUCACUCUCUCACACGCACACACUCACUCUCUCACACACACUCACACUCACUCUCUCACACACACACUCACUCACUCACACUCUCUCACACACUCACGCACGCACUCACGCACGCACUCACGCACGCACUCACACACGCACUCACACACGCACUCACUCACUCACACACGCACUCACUCACUCACACACGCACUCACUCACUCACACACACGCACUCACUCACACACGCACUCACUCACACACGCACUCACUCACACACGCACUCACUCACACACGCACUCACACACGCACUCACACACGCACUCACACACGCACUCACACACGCACUCACACACGCACUCACACACGCACUCACUCACGCACGCACUCACUCACUCACACACGCACACACGCACUCACACACUCACACACGCACUCACACACGCACUCACACACGCACUCACACACGCACUCACACACGCACUCACACACGCACUCACACACACUCACUCUCACACUCUCUCACACACACUCACUCUCACUCACUCACACACACACUCACACACAGUUACGUAGGAAGCGUGUGUGGGACGCGGUGACAGCGCGGCUGCGUUGUGUUACAGGCUCAGGCGGUGAUGAACUUCGUUGUUCGGUAUCGUCCCGACGAACAGCCGUCCCUCAGACCGCAUCACGACUCCUCCACCUUCACCAUCAACAUCGCCCUCAACAGGAAGGGCGUAGACUACCAGGUACACACUCACACUCAGAAGAUCGUCUGCUUCUCCUCCCGUCUUUUCUAACACGUUCCCCUCUGCGCGUGUGUAGGGUGGCGGCUGCCGGUUCCUGCGUUACGACUGUAGGGUGGAGGCUCCUCGUAAGGGCUGGUCUUUAA